UUAAUUUGAGAGUUUGAUCCUGGCUCAGGACGAACGCUGGCGGCGUGCCUAAUACAUGCAAGUCGAACGAACUCUGGUAAUGAUUGGUGCUUGCAUCAUGAAUUACAUUUGAGUGAGUGGCGAACUGGUGAGUAACACGUGGGA
rnacentral:rRNA from 1 species